GAAUAUUGGACAAUGGGCGGAAGCCUGCUCCAGCCAUGCCGCGUGUGUGAAGAAGGCCUUUUGGUUGUAAAGCACUUUAAGCGAGGAGGAGGAGCUCUUGGUUAAUCCCCAAGAUGCUUGGACGUUACUCGCAGAAUAAGCCCCGGCUACCUCUGUUCCAGCAUCCGCGGUAAUACAGAGGGUGCAAGCGUUAAUCGGAUUUACUGGGCGUAAAGGGGGCGUAGGUGGCCAAUUAAGUCAAAUGUGAAAGCCCCGAGCGGAACUGGGGAAUUGCAUUCGAUACUGGUUGGGUAGAGGAGGGGAGAGGAUGGUAGAAUUCCAGGUGUAGCGGUGAAAUGCGUAGAGAUCUGGAGGAAUACCGAUGGCGAAGGCAGCCAUCUGGCCUAAUACUGACACUGAGGUGCGAAAGCAUGGGGAGCAAACA
rnacentral:rRNA from 1 species